rnacentral:lncRNA from 1 species
UCAUUCUUUGAAUAACUGAAAACAGAAGCGACGAAGCAAGGAGCUUAGCGUACCGUUUUUGACUACCUUCUCUGUCAUGUCUGAGUUCUAACAUUCUAGGGAAUCUGUGCUUUGCUUUGUCAAUGUCACUUUCAAUAUGCUUCACACAUACAAGUUUGAUUGAACUGUUCACAUUGGCCAUCUAGAGAGAUUAUAUACAGUGUGCCGUUAGGGAGGAGAACUCUUGAAUAGGAAAGAGGGGGAAAACAGACGAUGAGAUCAGUCGCAGGCCAAUGAACAUAUCUAAAUCGACAUCAAUAAAUAGCUUUGCUUUGCGUAAAUAAAGAUAGAUGCCCCUGACUCGGGGAUUAGCCCUUCCUCGUCUCUUCCCUACCUUCUUGGUCUAGUUGUGUUGAGAGUCCCGGUUUGGAUCUGUCUUAGUUACCUUCAAGCUCAAUAGCCGAAAUAGACAGAACUCAACCCACUAUUGAGGACUAGGCAGAUCAUAGGAAAAGAUUCUAUGGGAUUGGAAAUGGAAUUACAGGGCAUAGGCAGUUAUUCGAACUUCCUAGCCCUUCUUCCCAUGGUAAUUAAACUGUCAAGAUUAUAGCAGCUCUCUUCUAUGUUAUUUAUACUGAGUUACGGAUCUAAGUAACGCCAGCCUUAGCCACUCUUAAGUGGCUUUCAUACUUAGUUGCUGUUCUCUUAGGCUU